AGCCCAUGGGUGCUAAGGUCCAUGGACGAGAGGGAAAGAACCCAGACCAUCAGCUAAGGUCCCCAAAUGUAUGUUAAGUUGAACAAACGAGGUGAGAUUGCUUAGACAGCUAGGAUGUUGUCUUGGAAGCAGCCAUUCAUUUAAAGAGUGCGUAACAGCUCACUAGUCGAGCGAUCUUGCAUGGAUGAUAAUCGGGCAUAAAACAUACUACCGAAGCUAUGGAUUUAGAAUUUAUUCUAACUGGUAGGGGAGCAUUCUAUUCUACGUAGAAGCCGAGUGGUAAUGCUUGGUGGAGUGUAUAGAAAAGCAACUGUAGGCAUAAGUAACGAUAAUGCGGGUGAGACACCCG
rnacentral:rRNA from 1 species